rnacentral:rRNA from 1 species
GACGAACGCUGGCGGCGUGCUUAACACAUGCAAGUCGAACGGAAAGGCCCUGCUUGCAGGGUGCUCGAGUGGCGAACGGGUGAGUAACACGUGGGUGAUCUGCCCCUUACUUUGGGAUAAGCCUGGGAAACUGGGUCUAAUACUGGAUAGGACCAUGCUGUAGGUGGUGUGGUGGAAAGAUUAGUUUCGGUAGGGGAUGAGCUCGCGGCCUAUCAGCUUGUUGGUGGGGUAAUGGCCUACCAAGGCGUCGACGGGUAGCCGGCCUGAGAGGGUGGACGGCCACAUUGGGACUGAGAUACGGCCCAGACUCCUACGGGAGGCAGCAGUGGGGAAUAUUGCACAAUGGGCGCAAGCCUGAUGCAGCGACGCCGCGUGGGGGAUGACGGCCUUCGGGUUGUAAACUCCUUUCAGCCAUGACGAAGCCCUUGUGGUGACGGUAGUGGUAGAAGAAGCACCGGCUAACUACGUG